CGGGACUGGUGAGUAACGCGUGAGGAACCUGCCUUUCGGAGGGGGACAACAGUUGGAAACGACUGCUAAUACCGCAUGACGUAUCGGGAUCGCAUGGUCUUGAUACCAAAGAUUUUAUCGCCGAAAGAUGGCCUCGCGUCUGAUUAGCUAGUUGGUGGGGUAACGGCCUACCAAGGCGACGAUCAGUAGCCGGACUGAGAGGUUGGCCGGCCACAUUGGGACUGAGAUACGGCCCAGACUCCUACGGGAGGCAGCAG
rnacentral:rRNA from 1 species